rnacentral:rRNA from 1 species
AGAGCGGCGGACGGGUGAGUAACACGUGGACAAUCUGCCCCCGGCCGGGAUAGCCCAGGGAAACCUGGAUUAAUACCGGAUGAGACGGGACCCGCGAUGGCGGGAUCCGGGAAAGGCGCUGCGGCGCCGCCGGGGGAUGAGUCUGCGUCCCAUUAGCUAGACGGCGGGGUAACGGCCACCGUGGCGACGAUGGGUAGCCGGCCUGAGAGGGUGGACGGCACAUUGGAACUGAGACACGGUCCAGACUCCUACGGGAGGCAGCAGCUAAGAAUCUUCCGCAAUGGGCGAAAGCCUGACGGAGCGACGCCCGCGUGAACGAAGAAGGCCGUGAGGUUGUAAAGUUCUUUUCGGGAGGGGGAACAACCGUGGCAGGGAAUGGCCGCGGGAUGACGUGAAUCCCGGAAUAAGCCCCGGCUAACUACGUGCCAGCCGCAGC